rnacentral:rRNA from 1 species
AUUGGACGCUGGCGGCAGGCUUAACACAUGCAAGUCGAGCGGGGAAAGGUAGCUUGCUACUUAACCUAGCGGCGGACGGGUGAGUAAUGCUUAGGAAUCUGCCUAUUAGUGGGGGACAACAUCUCGAACGGGAUGCUAAUACCGCAUACGUCCUACGUGAGAAAGCAGGGGACCUUCGGGCCUUGCGCUAAUAGAUGAGCCUAAGUCGGAUUAGCUAGUUGGUGGGGUAAAGGCCUACCAAGGCGACGAUCUGUAGCGGGUGUGAGAGGAUGUUCCGCCACACUGGGACUGAGACACGGCCCAGACUCCUACGGGAGGCAGCAGUGGGGAAUAUUGGACAAUGGGGGGAACCCUGAUCCAGCCAUGCCGCGUGUGUGAAGAAGGCCUUUUGGUUGUAAAGCACUUUAAGCGAGGAGGAGGCUACCGAGAUUAAUACUCUUGGAUAGUGGACGUUACUCGCAGAAUAAGCACCGGCUAACUCUGUGCCAGCCGCCGCAGUAA